rnacentral:rRNA from 1 species
AGGGAUCAUUACUGAGUUACCGCUCUAUAACCCUUUGUGAACGUACCUAACCGUUGCUUCGGCGGGCAGGGGAAGCCUCUCGCGGGCCUCCCCUCCCGGCGCCGGCCCCACCACGGGGACGGGGCGCCCGCCGGAGGAAACCAAACUCUAUUUACACGACGCCUCUUCUGAGUGGCACAAGCAAAUAAUUAAAACUUUUAACAACGGAUCUCUUGGUUCUGGCAUCGAUGAAGAACGCAGCGAAAUGCGAUAAGUAAUGUGAAUUGCAGAAUUCAGUGAAUCAUCGAAUCUUUGAACGCACAUUGCGCUCGCCAGCAUUCUGGCGAGCAUGCCUGUUCGAGCGUCAUUUCAACCCUCAAGCACCGCUUGGUUUUGGGGCCCCACGGCACACGUGGGCCCUUAAAGGUAGUGGCGGACCCUCCCGGAGCCUCCUUUGCGUAGUAACUAACGUCUCGCACUGGGAUUCGGAGGGACUCUUGCCGUAAAACCCCCCAAUUUUUUACAGGUUGACCUCGGAUCAGGUAGGAAUACCCGCUGAA